rnacentral:rRNA from 1 species
UACGUAGGGUGCAAGCGUUAAUCGGAAUUACUGGGCGUAAAGCGUGCGCAGGCGGUUUUGUAAGUCUGACGUGAAUCCCCGGGCUCAACCUGGGAAUUGCGUUGGAGACUGCAAGGCUAGAAUCUGGCAGAGGGGGGUAGAAUUCCACGUGUAGCAGUGAAAUGCGUAGAGAUGUGGAGGAACACCGAUGGCGAAGGCAGCCCCCUGGGUCAAGAUUGACGCUCAUGCACGAAAGCGUGGGGAGCAAACAGG